AUGACAAGGGGGAGAUAGCCGACAGGUUCACCUGGGCCACAGGCAGCGUCCACCUGCCACCUGUUCCUCUCAGUGCGGCAAGUGCAUUUUCUCAUGGAUCAAGGUACGCCGGUCACCUGAGGCAAUCCCGCGCCGAAGGUCCCAAAGCAGCAGACAACCCACACCCCUCACAUCGCCUCCGCCAACCACCACCCUCACCUUCCAUCCUCUCUCGACUCCCAGGAUUCCCGCGGCAGCAGGAGGCGACAGGUGUAGAGGUCGCCUUGAUGCUGCACACCUGGAUCUACAAAUGAAUCUCAAAGGUUUAUGUGACCGCUAAGUUUAACUUGAUGACGUGAAGUACAAAUAUUGCACUGACUUUUAAAUGAAAUCUUAGAAAAAAAGAAAAGGCAAUUAGACCUUGUCUUUAUACGUAAAUCACGUCCCUUUAAAAGAGAGGAUUUAAACGAAAUUAUGUAAAAGUGAUGAAAUUUUCAUGUGAUCUGAGUGGUUCGACAUACAUAUUUUAAUGGGUACUUGUACCUUAUGGGCGAGUGAUUCCGACACUGAGAGUAAUGGGACUACGGGAGUGAUGAAGGUCUAUACAGAGGUGGAGGUGACAGGGAGGUAAGGCAGGUGUGGCAGGACUGCGCCGAGAUCAUAUUCUUCAGUAGACAUCUUCAGCGUAGUGUCUAUAUGAAGAAAACCUUAAUGCACUCCCAUGAUAUACUAAAGAAAAACUGGAAAAUAUAAUAUCUGGACAUAGAUAAUAAUUGUGCAAACAAUGGCAAAAGGCAACCUGAAAGAAAAGUAUUUCUUGAAAGUAAAAGUCAUCGUAGAAACGCUGUAAUGGAACCAUUUUCUAGUGAACACCGAGAUGUAAACAAUCCUCACAAAUCAAGUAAGAUGGAGGUGUGAGGAACUACACAGAACAUCAAAGACUCAUGACAGAGCAUGGCAAGCAGAUGGAUGCCACUGACACAAAGUGUGUUGUAUUGGUGGCUGUGGCUAUGUGCCGGUGGUGUUCAUAGUGCCAGACAGAGCAAGGAGCCCAUUGCCAAUGUAUUGGGCAACUGUGGAGAUCUAGUGCAAUAAUAAGUAGAGUUCAUUUGUUCAUAUUCAGAUACAUGUGGUGCUGUAACGUAUAUUUUUAUCUUUCUGCUUAAAUUCUUGAACAAAGCUUUAAAAGCCACACAUUUAUUUGGAGUGACUGUAUCUGUCAGUGUGGUACUAUAUGUAAGCAAGGCAAUAGAUUUGGUAUUAUAUGUCUCUACCAAGGUAACUUAAUACUAAAAUACUGGAGUGAAGGAAAUGAACCUAUAGUGCUGCAGUGACAAAAGGCAAUCGUGAAAGUAAAGAACUACAUCAGCAGAAAAAAAUGAAAUAAAAAAAAGUAGCAUGAAGAGAAGAGUGCCCAUUUCUAUUCCCAAAAUUCAAGCUCAGAGGAAUAAGCUGAGCUGCAUCAACACACACCCCAAGACUGUGAGAUUUGAAUUUGAGGAAGUGUUAAAGUGUAUUGGACAAGAGCUAAGAUGAGUGAAGCAGAGGAAGAGAGGAAGGAGGUACUGCUACCCUUUCCAGAGGUUUACAUCAAGGAGGAGGUGAAGACAGAAGCACAAGAUUCAGAAGAGGACUACGAAGAAAGAAUGUGCUUGGAAGAGGAUCAUGCAGAGAGAUCAGUUGUGGGGAACAGCUAUGGGGAGGAUUAUGCAGCACUUCAGGAUGAUGAGUUUGGGCAACUUCAAGACAUAGAAGGCCUCAGAGGGGAGGAUGGAGAAAUUCAUUGUGAGCAAACUCAAGAUGACUUGAGAUGUGGUGUGUGCCAGCGAGAGUAUUCCUCUCCGACAUCUCUCAAGGCUCACCUCAGCAAGAAGCACAGACUGGCAAUAGGACCAUGUUUCACUUGCCACCUGUGUGGGGCCAUCGCCCAGACUAGAGCCACCCUCAGACGUCACCUGUUGAGAACCCACGGCCAGAGCAGCCUCAAAGAGCACCAGAUGUUAAAGAAGUGCCAACACUGUGGGGAAGGUCAUGUAACCCUGAUGGCCCUCAAUGCACACAUCGCUGAGGCCCAUGCAGAGCUGCUGGCACAGUACCAGCAGUGCCCCCACUGUCCAGGACUUUUUAGGGGUCGCCCAAGUUUGCUGCGGCAUAUUAGCCGAAGACAUCCUGACGCUGAUCCUCCAUGUCUGGAUCGAGACCAGUGUCAGGAGUGUCAGCGAAACUUCCCCACACGCACAGCACUCAGGUUGCAUCUCAAGAAUCAUCACCCUGAGGCACUCAUCCACAGGUGCCAAUCCUGUUCAGCCACAUUCAAAUAUUCCUCUAUGUUGCGGCGCCAUGUCAAGAAUGUUCAUGAGAAGCAGCGGCAACAGAAGGAGCAGCAGCUCAAGGAGGAGCGUUAUAAAUGUUGUAAGUGCCCAAGGGAAUAUCGCAGUAAGACCUUCCUGGAAAAACAUCUUGCCCUUGUCCACCUUGCUCCCAAGCAGCCUCGAGUAUAUUCAUGUGCCAUGUGCAGUGCAACCUUCAACUCAAGAAGCCGCAGAGCACGCCAUACCCGAAUGGUCCACUGGGAUAAGAGUCGUCCACGAUGCAGUGAAUGCAACCAAUGCUUUGACACCACAGAAGAAUUAAACGCACAUCGCCAGAAACAUAAGAUGAAGUGUGCUGUUUGUGACAAGACAUUUUUGCGCCGAGACUCCCUCAGGGAACACCUCCUUAUCCACAGUGGCCCUAAGCUUCCUUGUCCAUUCUGCCCCAAGAAGUUUACCCAAAACUCAAACCUGAAACGCCAUAUACGUGUCCACACAGGUGAGAAGCCAUACAAAUGUAGUUUUUGUUCCAAGCGCUUUGGGGACAAGUCAGCUUGCAACAGCCACAUGAGGGUCCACACAGGAGCUGAGAGGUGUUCCUGCCCUGAAUGUGGGGCCUCAUUUUCCAAGCGUCAGAAGCUCAACUACCAUAUGAGGAAACACACAGGGGAGGGACUGCUGCAUUGUCCCCUGUGCACUCGUUCUGCUACCAACUCCUAUUCCCAUAAAAAACACCUUGAGACCCACCAGACAGUGCUGGGUCGCCUACUGCAGGGGUCUAGAGUGUUGGGCCAAACCGAGGAUUGCCAAAGUCUAGCUCUCCGCACUCUCCACAACCUUGCCUGGGUGUCUGCUAGAGGCAGGGCCCAUGACCAGAUAUCAUCAUUACAUCCAUCUAGAAUCACAUCUCCAGUAGUAGAAGACAAAGUAGAAAGAUGUGAAGGAGAGACCCAGCAGGUAUUCUCAUCUGACAAUGAAAAAGACAAGAAAAAUGAUAGUGAAGACAGUGGAGAUGUAAGGACUCCUAUUGAGCAUGUUGAAGUUACUGUGAAAAUGGAGAGUCCAGAGGAGCUAGUUGAACCAGUGCAUUCAUCCUCUAAGAGUGAGGGAAAAAAUUUGACCUUAAGACAGUUCAGAAAGCUUACUAGAAAAGUGGAUGUUUUAACAGAUCCACAUAAUGACAAAGAUCAUCAACAUAUUGAGAAAAUACAAAAGUAUGAUGGUAUUAAAACAGAAGUCUUGAGUUACAUCAUGAAUUUAAGAUGUACUCAGUUUAAUGAAGCAGUAGAAAAGUGUAAAUUAGAGACUGCAAUUAAAGUAGAGAAGGAUUCUGUGCAUAACCAAAAUAGAAGUAACUUGUGGAAAAAUAAAGAAAAUAAUACAGAUGAAACUGAAUGUGCUCCUAAUCUCAAGGAACUGGAAACUACCUUAAGUAUGACUAACAAAAAAGAUGACAUAGAUAUCAAAACACCUGCUGAUGAUAACACAUUGAAUGUAGCAUGGGAACAAAUGAAAGAAUGUAGCUACACUUUGGCAGAAGAACCUCUGACAGUACUUGCACGACUCUGGCAGCUCAUUGUUGAGCCUAAAGAAGGGCAACAACACUGUGAGGAAAUUACACGUUUCUCCAGGCUCUUGGUGAAGGAAGAACACUUGCAGGCAGAGGCUAACAAGGAUACAUCUAGCUCUGUAUUAAAUCUAAGUGUGCAAUCAGAACCUGAGAAACAAACAAACACUGUAUGGAUUAAGCAGGAAUCCAGUGAUUUAGUAAUGGACAGUGAAGUCUCUGAGAGUGGGGAUUGAGUAUCAUGAAAUUUUUAAUAGUGUAGUUUCCAAGCACAUGUAUGAAGUAGCUGAGUUUCACAAUGGAUGAAGUUUGCCAGCCAUACAUGGUUUUAUUUAAUCUGACAAAGUAUUUGAUUUUCAGGAUAUUAUUUUCAGCAGACUGUUGAGAAAAAGCUUUUCUUAAAACAUGUUCAGGAUGGAAUACUCUCCCAAUGCUUACUGGAUUUCUGAGUUUGAUCUCUUUUUGUGUACUCAUUGUUAGCAUAUCAUGAAAAGUCCUUUGAGAUUCAUGCCUUUUUGUAUUAGGAAAGGUGCUUUGAGUGUGUUGUAGGAUAUUAAGGUAGGGUUGAAGGAUCUGUGUUUAGCUCAAAUUCAGAAGUUUAACUUGAAAUAAUAUGACUGCAAGAAACAUUUCUAAUGUGAUUUUCUUUAUUUUAGUUCAGUUUCAAAAACUACACAACAGAGUGCAGCUGGCCCAAGACUUUAAGAGGUGGCAUAUUAUAACAUAACUAAAAGAGAUCAAGCUAUACAUCGCAGCAGAGAGGCUGUGGAAAGUAUGUGGGAUUUUGAAGGCAACACAGAAGUGAUUGUGAGCAGACAUACCUUUAGAUGCUGUAAUAGUUUGGGGAGUUAUCCUUUGAAAUGUUUUUUAUACAAUACACAAGCUGUCUUGAAGGUGACACUUUUAUUAUGUGAGAUUGUAAGAUACUUGUGCACCACUGAUGAUGGCUUGAAUACCAUUUUAUUUUUUUUAAUUCUGAGUUAAAAUUAUGAAAUCUGAAGAAAUAAUACACAUUCAUGGUCCAUGCACAGAUAAGACAGCCAACCUUCAAUCUCAUUACUGUUAUGUUCAUCUUAAUGAUGUAAUGGGGAAUUUGAUAAGCUAAGCCACCAGAUGUCUCAGCUGACCCCCACCCUACACUCACAUAAUCUAAAAUCUUGUUACUUUAAUUUCUAGGUGCAUACAAAUACAUUCAGCAUUUAUUAUUAUACUUUUUUUGCAAAUUUCUACCUGGAAGUUCUCUUAUUUUAUACUGAUAAUUUUGUGAGAAAAUAAUAAAUAUUCAUAUUCUAUCAACAUCAGCAGUUAUAGUUAUCACUUUUUUCAAAUAUAGCACAGUCUAUAAACUAUUUGAUUUACAGACUCAAAGUCUAAAAUAUGGUAGUACUACUUAAUGACAUUGUGAUAAAUGGGUGUAGUAAUAUGCAGCAAUUCUCUAAACUCACUCCAGAAGCAAUUGUUAUGGCAAGAAUGAUUGUGGCCAUUCAAACCAAAACAAUCCUCUCUCAAAAGUCAUGAGGAUUUGUUGCCAUGCCAUCAGUGUGUUGUGUACCUCCUUGUAGAAGUAGAGGUGGUGGUUAUACGUUUCCUAGUGAUGCUAAGCUGAGGAAGUGGUGGAUAGCUGCUGUUAGGAGAGACAAGUGGCAUCCAGUAGCUGCCAGCCAAGUGUGUCAAAGGCACUUUGUGGAGGACAAGUAUGUUGCUAUCACUACUCUAAGUUAUGUUGAGGAUUGUAUAAGCCAUAUCAAGGGCUUGGCUAUGCCAUAUAGCCACAUCCACCAGCGCUCUGGAGCAUGUGAUGUUUGUUUUGGUUUGACCUGCCACAGCCGUUCUCAUCAAGUCACUAAAAUUGUUGAUUUCCAAUUAAAAAUUUGUUGUUUCCAUAUACUACUGAGUUGUUCUUUGCCAUCUGGUAUUUUCAGUGGCAUAGACUUGUUGCCUAUGAUUUAUGCUGUAAGCAUUAAUACCUUUCAUAUGUAUAGUGUACCUGCCUAAAAAAAAACAUGGAUGACCAAACACU